rnacentral:rRNA from 1 species
UCAAGAAUAUUCCGCAAUGGCCGAAAGGCUGACGGAGCGACGCCGCGUGCAGGAAGAAGCCCUUCGGGGUGUAAACUGCUUUUCUUUGGGACGAAUUCGUGACGGUACCAAAGGAAUAAGUCACUGCAAACCUCGUGCCAGCAGCAGCGGUAAGACGAGGGUGGCAAGCGUUAUCCGGAUUUAUUGGGUGUAAAGCGUCCCUAGGCGGUCUGAAAAGUUUUUGGUUAAAUCUUCGAGCUCAACUCGAAGCGUGCUGAAAAAACUCUCAGACUAGAGAUCGGAAGAGGUUAGUGGAAUAGCCGGUGUAGUAGUAAAAUGCGUUAAUAUCGGCUAGAACACCAAUAGCGAAGGCAACUAACUAGAACGAUUCUGACGCUCAUAGGACGAAAGCGUGGGUAGCGAAUGGG